UUGCUUCUCUUGAGAGCGGCGGACGGGUGAGUAAUGCCUAGGAAUCUGCCUGGUAGUGGGGGAUAACGUUCGGAAACGGACGCUAAUACCGCAUACGUCCUACGGGAGAAAGCAGGGGACCUUCGGGCCUUGCGCUAUCAGAUGAGCCUAGGUCGGAUUAGCUAGUUGGUGGGGUAAUGGCUCACCAAGGCGACGAUCCGUAACUGGUCUGAGAGGAUGAUCAGUCACACUGGAACUGAGACACGGUCCAGACUCCUACGGGAGGCAGCAGUGGGGAAUAUUGGACAAUGGGCGAAAGCCUGAUCCAGCCAUGCCGCGUGUGUGAAGAAGGUCUUCGGAUUGUAAAGCACUUUAAGUUGGGAGGAAGGGUUGUAGAUUAAUACUCUGCAAUUUUGACGUUACCGACAGAAUAAGCACCGGCUAACUCUGUGCCAGCAGCCGCGGUAAUACAGAGGGUGCAAGCGUUAAUCGGAAUUACUGGGCGUAAAGCGCGCGUAGGUGGUUUGUUAAGUUGGAUGUGAAAUCCCCGGGCUCAACCUGGGAACUGCAUUCAAAACUGACUGACUAGAGUAUGGUAGAGGGUGGUGGAAUUUCCUGUGUAGCGGUGAAAUGCGUAGAUAUAGGAAGGAACACCAGUGGCGA
rnacentral:rRNA from 1 species